GGCUGGUCCGAAGAUAUUGAGUUAUCUUAAUUGAUUGUUCACAGUCAGUUACAGAUUGAACUCCUUGUUCUACUCUUUCCCCCCUUCUCACUACUGCACUUGACUAGUCUUUA
rnacentral:Y_RNA from 1 species